rnacentral:rRNA from 1 species
AACGAACGCUGGCGGCAUGCCUAACACAUGCAAGUCGAACGAGACCUUCGGGUCUAGUGGCGCACGGGUGCGUAACGCGGGGGAACCUGCCCGUAGGUUCGGAAUAACUCCCUGAAAGGGGUGCUAAUACCGGUUAAUGUAUUCGGACCAAAGAUUUAUCGCCUUUGGAUGGGCCCGCGUUGGAUUCGCUAGUUGGUAGGGUAAAAGCCUACCAAGGCGACGAUCCUUAGCUGGUCUGAGAGGAUGAUCAGCCACGCUGGGACUGAGACACGGCCCAGACUCCUACGGGAGGGAGCAGUGGGGAAUAUUGGACGAUGGGCGAAAGCCUGAUCCAGCAAUGCCGCGUGAGUGAUGAAGGCCUUAGGGUUGUAAAGCUCUUUUACCCGGGAUGAUAAUGACAGUACCGGGAGAAUAAGCACCGGCUAACUCCGUG